rnacentral:rRNA from 1 species
UACGAAGGGGGCUAGCGUUGCUCGGAAUCACUGGGCGUAAAGCGCACGUAGGCGGACUCUUAAGUCGGGGGUGAAAUCCUGGAGCUCAACUCCAGAACUGCCUUCGAUACUGGGAGUCUUGAGUUCGGGAGAGGUGAGUGGAACUGCGAGUGUAGAGGUGAAAUUCGUAGAUAUUCGGAAGAACACCAGUGGCGAAGGCGGCUCACUGGACCGGCAUUGACGCUGAUGCGCGAAAGCGUGGGGAGCAAACGGG